CGAGUAUGUCAGAUAAUCGCGAGCAUUGCUCGAGGAAAGUCCGUGCACCACACAGCAGGAUGCCAGAUAACGUCUGGUGGAGGUGACUCUAAGGCUAGUGCAACAGAGAUAUACCGCUGAAACCCUAACUUAUGUGAUUAAAAAUGAAAACAAGUGGGCUUCCGCCGACGAAUCUAGCUAAUCGAAGCUUCUGAGGUCGCUUCUCUUAGAGAUUCUUGGCAUGAGACCUACUUUAUACUUCAACUAAUUCAUGGUGCUUCACACCAUGAAUUAGUUGAGCGCAUAAGUUAGGGCUUCAGUAAGGGUGGAAAGGUGAGGUAAGAGCUCACCAGCAUAUAGGUAACUAUGUGGCUAUGUAAACCCCAUUCGGUGCAAAAUCAAAAUAGGGUAAAACCUGGCAGCUGGUCAGGUCCGGUAGGUAGAUUGCUUGAGUGUAUAGGCGACUAUACAACUAGACAGAUGAUUAUCAAAUACAGAACACGGCUUAUAGAUAUGCUCGUACA
rfam:Helcococcus kunzii ATCC 51366 genomic scaffold supercont1.1, whole genome shotgun sequence.